GUGGAUGCCUAGGCAUGCAGAGGCGAAGAAGGACGUGUAAAGCUGCGAUAAGCUGCGGGGAGUUGCAAAAGAACUGUGAUCCGCGGAUUUCCGAAUGGGGCAACCCACUCUAAUUUAUUAGGGUAUCCUUUCGAGGAGGCAUACCCGGGGAACUGAAACAUCUAAGUACCCAGAGGAAAGGACAUCAAUUGAGACUUCCUUAGUAGUGGCGAGCGAACGGGAACCAGGCCAGUGUCUCUUCUUGAGUCAGCGGAACGAUCUGGAAAGUUCGGCCAUAGCGGGUGAUAGCCCCGUACGUUAAAGCGAUUGAAGAGACCUUGAGUAGGGCGGGACACGUGAAAUCCUGUCUGAACAUGGGGGGACCACCCUCCAAGCCUAAGUACUCCUUACCGACCGAUAGUGAACUAGUACCGUGAGGGAAAGAUGAAAAGUACCCCGAUGAGGGGAGUGAAACAGUACCUGAAACCGGAUGCUUACAAGCUGAGGGAGCUCUUCGGAGUGACCUCGUACCUUUUGUAUAAUGGGUCAACGACUUAGUGUUGUAUGCAAGCUUAAGCCGAUAGGUGUAGGCGCAGCGAAAGCGAGUCUGAAUAGGGCGACCGAGUAUGCAGCAUUAGACCCGAAGGCAAGUGAUCUAGGUAUGGGCAGGGUGAAGGUGCAGUAACAUGCACUGGAGGACCGAACCCACGCCUGUUGAAAAAGGCGGGGAUGACUUGUGCCUAGGGGUGAAAGGCCAAUCAAACUCGGAAAUAGCUGGUUCUCCGCGAAAUCUAUUUAGGUAGAGC
rnacentral:rRNA from 1 species